rnacentral:rRNA from 1 species
UUUGACCUCAAAUCAGGUAGGACUACCCGCUGAACUUAAGCAUAUCAAUAAGCGGAGGAAAAGAAACUAACAAGGAUUCCCCUAGUAACUGCGAGUGAAGCGGGAAAAGCUCAAAUUUAAAAUCUGGCGGUCUCCGGCCGUCCGAGUUGUAAUCUAGAGAAGUGUUAUCCGCGCUGGACCGUGUACAAGUCUCCUGGAAUGGAGCGUCAUAGAGGGUGAGAAUCCCGUCUUUGACACGGACUGCCAGGGCUUUGUGAUGCGCUCUCAAAGAGUCGAGUUGUUUGGGAAUGCAGCUCAAAAUGGGUGGUAAAUUCCAUCUAAAGCUAAAUAAUUGGCGAGAGACCU